UGGGGAAUAUUGCACAAUGGGCGCAAGCCUGAUGCAGCCAUGCCGCGUGUAUGAAGAAGGCCUUCGGGUUGUAAAGUACUUUCAGUCGGGAGGAAGGUGGUAAGGUUAAUAACCUUAUCAAUUGACGUUACCGACAGAAGAAGCACCGGCUAACUCCGUGCCAGCAGCCGCGGUAAUACGGAGGGUGCAAGCGUUAAUCGGAAUUACUGGGCGUAAAGCGCACGCAGGCGGUUGAUUGAGUCAGAUGUGAAAUCCCCGGGCUUAACCCGGGAAUUGCAUCUGAUACUGGUCAGCUAGAGUCUUGUAGAGGGGGGUAGAAUUCCAUGUGUAGCGGUGAAAUGCGUAGAGAUGUGGAGGAAUACCGGUGGCGAAGGCGGCCCCCUGGACAAAGACUGACGCUCAAGUGCGAAAGCGUGGGGAGCAAACAGG
rnacentral:rRNA from 1 species